rnacentral:rRNA from 1 species
UACUCCUACGGGAGGCAGCAGUGGGGAAUAUUGGACAAUGGGCGAAAGCCUGAUCCAGCCAUGCCGCGUGUGUGAAGAAGGUCUUCGGAUUGUAAAGCACUUUAAGUUGGGAGGAAGGGCAGUAAGUUAAUACCUUGCUGUUUUGACGUUACCAACAGAAUAAGCACCGGCUAACUUCGUGCCAGCAGCCGCGGUAAUACGAAGGGUGCAAGCGUUAAUCGGAAUUACUGGGCGUAAAGCGCGCGUAGGUGGUUCAGCAAGUUGGAUGUGAAAUCCCCGGGCUCAACCUGGGAACUGCAUCCAAAACUACUGAGCUAGAGUACGGUAGAGGGUGGUGGAAUUUCCUGUGUAGCGGUGAAAUGCGUAGAUAUAGGAAGGAACACCAGUGGCGAAGGCGACCACCUGGACUGAUACUGACACUGAGGUGCGAAAGCGUGGGGAGCAAACAGGAUUAGAUACUCUGGUAGUCCACGCCGUAAACGAUGUCGACUAGCCGUUGGGAUCUUUGAGAUCUUAGUGGCGCAGCUAACGCGAUAAGUCGACCGCCUGGGGAGUACGGCCGCAAGGUUAAAACUCAAAUGAAUUGACGGA